rnacentral:rRNA from 1 species
UACGUAGGGUGCGAGCGUUAAUCGGAAUUACUGGGCGUAAAGCGUGCGCAGGCGGCUUUGCAAGACAGAUGUGAAAUCCCUGGGCUCAACCCAGGAACUGCGUCCGAUACUGGCGGGCUUGAAUCCGGGAGAGGGAUGUGGAAUUCCAGGUGUAGCGGUGAAAUGCGUAGAUAUCUGGAGGAACACCGGUGGCGAAGGCGGCAUCCUGGACCGGUAUUGACGCUGAUGCGCGAAAGCCAGGGGAGCAAACGGG